AAACACACAGGGAAAACUCUUCAGGGAGAGAGCAGAUCCGCUCAUCCCAAUGCCUGGGGAAAGCAAAAUUGGGAUCAAAUCCGGGUCUACCAGCCACCUGUAAGAGCCUGCUUCAGAGGUUGUGAUGCCUGGCAAGUAGAAGGAGGCUGUGGUACGUGAGAGAGCCGAGAGCAAGGCCUGAGACAGUGGUAAAUGGACAAGGUUUACCACAGAGAAAGGCAGUAAACGGUGAGCUCUCGGCCCCAUGGAUGACAACGAGGCUUCUGACCUUAAAGCAGAAGACGAGGGUGAAAAAGUAUCCCCUGACUCGGAAUCGGAGGAAUCACUCAUCUAUGACGAUGACACAAAUCUCCUGGAAAAGGAAAAAGCUGAGGAUUCCGAAACCGACCUAGAGAUUACAGAAACCGAAAGGCUUUUCACCACAGGCCAAGCCGAGCUGUACGUGGAGGCCUGCAAAGUGGUGGGAGUGAUCCCUGUAUCCUACUUCCUUCGGAACAUGGAAGAGGCCUAUGUGAACCUCAAUCACCACGGGCUGGGACCCAAGGGUACCAAGGCCGUUGCCAUUGCUCUGGUGUCCAACACAACCGUCACACACCUGGAACUGGCAGACAACUGGAUCCUGGCUGAAGGAGCCUUGAGCUUGGUGCAGAUGCUGCGGGAGAACUGCUACAUCCAGGAACUGAAUAUCUCCAACAAUCACCUGGAUACUGAAGGGGCAAAAAUCAUCACUGGGUUACUUCUGGAAAACCUCUCUUCUAUCUGGUCCCUCCAGCUCUCAGGGAACAACUUCCGAGAGGAAUCAGCCCAGUACUUCUCCGAGGCACUAACGGUUAAUUACCGGACAAAGGAACUGGACCUCAGCCACAAUGAAUUUUCUGAGAAGGGAGGAGAGUUCCUGGGACACAUGCUGGCCUACAAUGAAGGGCUGACGGUACUGAAUCUGAGCUGGAACCAUCUGCGGAAGAAGGGGGCUACAGCAGUGAGCACUGGUCUCCGGGUCAAUGCGACGCUGAAGACUUUAGAUCUUUCCUGGAAUGGCUUGGGGAAUGAGGGGGCCCUGGCCCUGGGGGAGGCACUCAAAGUCAACACCACCCUGGUCUACCUGGACAUCAGCAGCAAUCACAUCUACAGCGAAGGGGCUGGGAAGCUGAGCAAGGGCUUGGAAAGCAAUGGGACCCUCAAGAUCCUGAAGCUUUCCUUUAAUCCCUUGACCGUAGAGGGGGCCAUGGUCCUUAUUGCAUCUCUCAAGAAGAACCCUAAAUCCAGGAUGGAGGAGCUCAACAUCUCAAAUGUGAUGGUGAACGAAGGGUUCCUCAGACUGCUGGGUGGGGUUUGCCACGUUCACCCCCAGCUGGACGUAGUCCAUGGUGAUGUCGGAGGACAAAUCAGCAAGAAGCCCAACCUACAGCCAGACCCCAUGGUAUUGAUUAAGAACUACCUGGACGAACACAAGCUGAAACUCUGGGAUUUCUUCAGAGAUAUGGACAAGGAAGGAAACAUGAAGAUCCCCGUGGCAGACUUCCGGAAAGCUUUAACGCAGUCACUUACAAGAUCAGAAGCCACAAUAACAGCAAACUCAAGGAGGAGAGAAACCCUGGCAGAAAGGACAGACCCAGCUCAGCAGGAUGCCGAGGAAAGAGCCGGAGCUGCCUGAAGUAACUGUGGACUUAUGCUAAGGACUAAGGAAAGUCAAAGACCCAGACCAGAAGGAAGUCACUUAGUCUCGGGAGCUAAACAUAAAGUCUCAGGACCAAGGCUCCUCCACCACUCCUGAUGAGGGACUCCACCACCGGUAAGCAGAAUGUAUUCCGAGAAACCGUGGUGACCCCCUGCUACCUCGUGGAAGCCUCGAGCCCCAGAGUGAGGGGCUCUCAAGCAGCUUCUGCCCCUACUUAACCCUGAAGCUUCUCAUUCGCCUCUCUUGACAAUAAAUUGGCU